GAACGCUGGCGGCGUGCUUAACACAUGCAAGUCGAACGGAAAGGCCCUGCUUUUGUGGGGUGCUCGAGUGGCGAACGGGUGAGUAACACGUGAGUAACCUGCCCUUGACUUUGGGAUAACUUCAGGAAACUGGGGCUAAUACCGGAUAGGAGCUCCUGCUGCAUGGUGGGGGUUGGAAAGUUUCGGCGGUUGGGGAUGGACUCGCGGCUUAUCAGCUUGUUGGUGGGGUAGUGGCUUACCAAGGCUUUAACGGGUAGCCGGCCUGAGAGGGUGACCGGCCACAUUGGGACUGAGAUACGGCCCAGACUCCUACGGGAGGCAGCAGUGGGGAAUAUUGCACAAUGGGCGGAAGCCUGAUGCAGCAACGCCGCGUGCGGGAUGACGGCCUUCGGGUUGUAAACCGCUUUCGCCUGUGACGAAGCGUGAGUGACGGUAAUGGGUAAAGAAGCACCGGCUAACUACGUG
rnacentral:rRNA from 1 species